rnacentral:lncRNA from 1 species
UGAUCCAAAAUGUUCUCGUGUGGUUUCUCAUGCUCAUAAUGAAGCCAUCAGGGGAGCAGAGACCCAGAGCUAUCAAAAACUCAACAACCAACCAAACACUUCAACACAGAGAAUGAUAUUAGGAAUUUGCACUGAAAACACUCCCCCUAGCAUCUACCGGACAAAUCACGUCAAAAGUUGCUCAUCAGGGUGCUUCACCAAAACCUUAAACUAAUUACACUUCAUUGGGAACAAAUCAAUCAUGAAAGACAAGGAUAACAAACAACACAGACACAGUCCAGAAUCGCCAAUGAACCACUAUCAACAUGCGAUGCACUUAAGAACGAGCAAGAAAACAAGACAAGGGGACCAUUCGCCCCAACACAAGAAAGCCCAAGAACACAACAAGAAAACACCCACAGGAAUUACAAAUACCAACAAACACCCCACACUUAAAAUCUGGCACUGUCCUCAGUGCAAACAAAAAGAGGGGUGAAAGAGGAAACUUCCC